rnacentral:rRNA from 1 species
UACGUAGGGACCAAGCGUUGUUCGGAUUUACUGGGCGUAAAGGGCGCGUAGGCGGCGCGGUAAGUCACUUGUGAAAUCUCUGAGCUUAACUCAGAACGGCCAAGUGAUACUGCAGUGCUAGAGUGUGGAAGGGGCAAUCGGAAUUCUUGGUGUAGCGGUGAAAUGCGUAGAUAUCAAGAGGAACACCUGAGGUGAAGACGGGUUGCUGGGCCAACACUGACGCUGAGGCGCGAAUGCCAGGGGAGCAAACGGG